rnacentral:rRNA from 1 species
CGGAGAGUUUGAUCCUGGCUCAGAUUGAACGCUGGCGGCAUGCCUUACACAUGCAAGUCGAACGGCAGCACGGAGCUUGCUCUGGUGGCGAGUGGCGAACGGGUGAGUAAUAUAUCGGAACGUACCCUAGAGUGGGGGAUAACGUAGCGAAAGUUACGCUAAUACCGCAUACGAUCUAAGGAUGAAAGUGGGGGAUCGCAAGACCUCAUGCUCGUGGAGCAGCCGAUAUCUGAUUAGCUAGUUGGUAGGGUAAAAGCCUACCAAGGCAUCGAUCAGUAGCUGGUCUGAGAGGACGACCAGCCACACUGGAACUGAGACACGGUCCAGACUCCUACGGGAGGCAGCAGUGGGGAAUUUUGGACAAUGGGCGAAAGCCUGAUCCAGCAAUGCCGCGUGAGUGAAGAAGGCCUUCGGGUUGUAAAGCUCUUUUGUCAGGGAAGAAACGGUGAAAGCUAAUAUCUUUUGCUAAUGACGGUACCUGAAGAAUAAGCACCGGCUAACUACGUGCCAGCAGCCGCGGUAAUACGUAGGGUGCAAGCGUUAAUCGGAAUUACUGGGCGUAAAGCGUGCGCAGGCGGUUUUGUAAGUCUGAUGUGAAAUCCCCGGGCUCAACCUGGGAAUUGCAUUGGAGACUGCAAGGCU